rnacentral:rRNA from 1 species
GCUUGUCUCAAAGAUUAAGCCAUGCAUGUCUAAGUAUAAGCCUUUACACGGUGAGACUGCGAAUGGCUCAUUAAAUCAGAAACUGUUUAUUUGAUAGUGCCUACUACUUGGAUAACCGUAGUAAUUCUAGAGCUAAUACAUGCACAAAAUCCCGACUUACGAAGGGAUGUAUUUAUUAGAUACAAACCAACAUCGUGGUGAUUCAUAAUAACUCCUCGAAUCGCAUGGCCUUGCGCCGGCGAUGUUUCAUUCAAAUUUCUGCCCUAUCAAUUUGAUGGUAGGAUAGAGGCCUACCAUGGUGGUAACGGGUGACGGAGAAUUAGGGUUCGAUUCCGGAGAGGGAGCCUGAGAAACGGCUACCACAUCCAAGGAAGGCAGCAGG